GACGAACGCUGGCGGCGUGCUUAACACAUGCAAGUCGAACGAUGAAGCGCUGUCUUUUUGGUGGUGUGGAUUAGUGGCGAACGGGUGAGUAAUACGCGGGCAACCUGCCCCUCUGCUUCGGGAUAAGCUUUGGAAACGGGGUCUAAUACCGGAUGUGCCUGUCUGGUCGCAUGGCUGGGCGGGGAAAGAUGUUUUUCGGCGGGGGAUGGGCUCUCGGCCUAUCAGCUUGUUGGGGGGGUGACGGCCUACCAAGGCGUCGACGGGUAGCCGGCCUGAGAGGGUGGUCGGCCACACUAGGACUGAGAUACGGCCCAGACUCCUACGGGAGGCAGCAGUGGGGGAUAUUGCGCAAUGGGCGCACGCGUGAUGCAGCGACACCGCGUGGGGGAUGGAGGCUUUCGGGUUGUAAACACCCUUUCUGGGCGGGACAAGGGUCUGUUUUGGCGGGGGUUGAGGGUACACGUCAAAGAAGCGCCCGCUAACUACGUGCCAGCAGCGGCGGAAAUACAUAGGGCGCGAGCGUUGUCCCGGAAUUAUAGGGCGUAAAGGGCUCUCAGGCGGGUUGUCGCGUCUCUUGUGAAAACGCGGGGUCACCUCUCUCGUACAAGGGUACAGGAGGCUGUAGUGCUGCAAGGGUGCUCUAAUUCCUGGGGUAGAGGUGGAAUGCGCAGAUAUCAGAAGAACACCGAUGUGAAGGAGGGCACUUGGGCGUCCUUACCUUAGGAGCGAAAGCUGGGGAGCAAAAGAAUAGAACCUUGUAGUCCAGGGGGAUUCCCAUGGGGUGCUGCCCGGGGGUACCUAGUUUAGAGUGGCUGCACGCGGAGGUUCAAUGCGCCAUAUGGGAGGCGUAUAUGCGCUCCCACGUGGCGAGAGUUGAAAA
rnacentral:rRNA from 1 species